rnacentral:rRNA from 1 species
UACGAAGGGGGCGAGCGUUGUUCGGAAUUACUGGGCGUAAAGGGCGCGCAGGCGGCCUUAGAAGUCAGAUGUGAAAGCCCCGGGCUCAACCUGGGGAAUGGCAUUUGAUACUCUGAGGCUGGAGUACGGGAGAGGAGAGUGGAAUUCCCAGUGUAGAGGUGAAAUUCGUAGAUAUUGGGAAGAACACCGGUGGCGAAGGCGGCUCUCUGGACCGUAACUGACGCUGAGGCGCGAAAGCGUGGGGAGCAAACAGGG